GAGAGAGAGAGAAAAGACCCUGAAUUAUAGCUGGAGGGCAAGAAGUUGGCAUGGGAAGGGACUUCCGAGAUUAUGAACGUCACCAUGUCCACUCACUGGCUGUGAGCAGUUUUUACAGCCAGUCAUAAAAGAGAAAGUAAAGGCUCGUUGUGAAACAGUUGGCACCUGUGUAACAAAGGAGUCACAGAAUGGCCUAUUUCAUUGGGCUCUGAAGGCAGAAAGAACUAGAGGGUGCUGUGGCUGUCACAGAGGCCCUUCCAGGUCUCACCUAGACUAGAGAGAGACCUUUCUUUCACACAUUCUCCUGCCAUUUCAAGCCUUCAAAACUUCAGAAGACAGCCAUGUGCUCUG
rnacentral:lncRNA from 1 species